GAUGAAGAACGUAGCGAAAUGCGAUAAGUAAUGUGAAUUGCAGAAUUCAGUGAAUCAUCGAAUCUUUGAACGCAACUUGCGCUCCUUGGCAUUCCGAGGAGCAUGCCUGUUUGAGUGUCAUGAAACUAUCAAGCUACAAAUGUUCUUGUUAGCAUUUGUUGGUUUGGACAUUGGAUGCUUUGCUGGACAAUAUUGUACAGCUCAUCCGAAAUUUAUUAGCUGGUCUAAAUACCUUGGACUAUAUCCACUUGGCGUGAUAAGUAUCACCCGCUGAGGACUUGUUCAUUGGAGGUUGACUGCUUCUAGUAACCCAAUUAUAUUUGAAUCAUCUGACCUCAAAUCAGGUAGGACUACCCGCUGAACUUAAGCAUAUCAAAAGCGGAGGA
rnacentral:misc_RNA from 1 species